GACGAACGCUGGCGGCGUGCUUAACACAUGCAAGUCGAACGGUGAAGCGAGGGCUUGCACUCGUGGAUCAGUGGCGAACGGGUGAGUAACACGUGAGUAACCUGCCCAUCACUCUGGGAUAAGCACUGGAAACGGUGUCUAAUACUGGAUACGACCAACCCUUGCAUGGGGUGUUGGUGGAAAGAUUUGUCGGUGAUGGAUGGACUCGCGGCCUAUCAGCUUGUUGGCGGGGGUAAUGGCACACCAAGCCGACGACGGGUAGCCGGCCUGAGAGGGUGACCGGCCACACUGGGACUGAGAGACGGCCCAGACUCCUACGGGAGGCAGCAGUGGGGAAUAUUGCACAAUGGGCGAAAGCCUGAUGCAGCGACGCCGCGUGAGGGAUGACGGCCUUCGGGUGGUAAACCUCUUUCAGCAGGGAAGAAGCGAAAGUGACGGUACCUGCAGAAGAAGCACCGGCUAACUACGUG
rnacentral:rRNA from 1 species